CUGGGUCAGAGAGGCUGCCUAUUGGAUGGCAGCUGCGGCUGAGUGGGCCCUCAAGCCAACAGGUGCCUGAAGAGGCUGAGGGCGGGGCCGGCGCGCGCGCGCAGCUGAUAACUCCCCCAACCCCAGCCCCACCCGCCAGGUAACUUUUGAAAGCCCUGGAGCGCGCGCGGCCCUCCUCCGCUCUCUCCUGUACCCGCCCCACAGCCUUGCGCAUGCGCAUAGCUCCCUGGGCGCUUCAACGAUCCAGCCGCUUGCUUUGAGUCCGGGAGGCAAAAUUGUGCCCAUUUCAAAGAUGUGAUGAUUAAGGUCUCGAGAGGGCCAGGGCUCGCCCAAGGUUUCUCUGUGAUGACAGCUUUACCUCUUUGCUGUUUAUUAUCAGGUAUUGCAAACGGACGAGAGAAAGUGGAGAUGAGUCUCGUGAUGUUUCCCAGGCUGGCCUCAAGUAAUCCUCCUGCCUUGGCCUCCCAAAGUGCUGGGAUUACAAUCAUGAGCCACUGCAUCUGGCCAGCAGUGCCUUUGACUGCAUAUAAUAGCAGAACCAGCUGACAUUUCCCUCCCCUGGCCCAGGAAGUGGUGUCUGAGUAGCUUCUGAGUUCCUGGCCCGUCCUGUUUUCCUCUAUAUGGUUCAGAGCCAUGACAAAAGUGUACUGGGGUCAGCUUGACUGUUCUCCCUUCUAGAAUGAAUCCUGGAGAAAACAAGGUCAUUCCUGCUGAUUUGGACACAUUGCAUCCCUGAGUCUCUCGUGUCCUGAGAACUGGAGGCAGUGACAUUUUGGAGGCUGCAGUGAAAGCCACACAGCCAUGGAAGGCCGAGACUCCACCAUGUUUGUGACCUUCACAUUCAGAAAACUCACUCGCACUCUGCCUCAUCUUAUCUCUAGAAUGUAUUUUACCACACUGUGUCCCUUCUUUAGUGGGAAUGUCUUUGGCCAAAAAUAAUGAAAGUUCAAACCUGACUUGCUAAUGUCCACUGAUGAGAGGAGAUGGAAUUUGUUGGAAAUAAAAGAAAACUAAGCUUACAAA